rnacentral:rRNA from 1 species
CCGGGGUGGGGACUGCGGAGGAUCAUUACUGAGUUUUGAAGUGGGCUUGAUGCUGGCAUCUCUUCGGGGGGGGAAGGGGUCCGCCCCGGUUUCCAAUCCCAUCCACACCUGGGGACUUUUAAAGGUGGAAGCCUCCGGAAUGGGAAGCCCAAGGCCUUUCUGGGUUGGUGGGAAUGGCCUUUGGCCUUUAAUCCCAACCAAUUAUAUUGUUUUGUAGAAUGUCUAGCCUCUUAGUAGGUGAAACUUAAUACAACUUUCAACAACGGAUCUCUUGGCUCUCGCAUCGAUGAAGAACGCAGCGAAAUGCGAUAAGUAAUGUGAAUUGCAGAAUUCAGUGAAUCAUCGAAUCUUUGAACGCACCUUGCGCUCCUUGGUAUUCCGAGGAGCAUGCCUGUUUGAGUGUCGUGAAAUUAUCAACUCCCAUUCUUUGUUGAUUGGUGAGCUUGGACUUGGGGAUUGCUGGCGCAAGUCUGCUUCCCUUGAAUGAAUUAGCUGGAAUUUGAUUCGCAGCAUAUAUGCGGUGUGAUAAUUGGUCGUCACUGUUGUAGCUCGGAUUGUCUGGCUUCUAAUCGUCCUUCACGGACAACUUGAUCUUUUUGACCUCCAAAUCAGGUAGGACUACCCGCUGAACUUAAGCAUAAAAAACCCGGCAGGGAAAAAAAAA